rnacentral:rRNA from 1 species
UACGUAGGGGGCAAGCGUUGUCCGGAAUCAUUGGGCGUAAAGAGCGUGUAGGCGGUUCGGUAAGUCGGCUGUGAAAGUCCAGGGCUCAACCCUGGGAUGCCGGUCGAUACUGCCGGACUAGAGUGCGGAAGAGGCGAGUGGAAUUCCUGGUGUAGCGGUGAAAUGCGCAGAUAUCAGGAGGAACACCGAUUGCGAAGGCAGCUCGCUGGGACGUUACUGACGCUGAGACGCGAAAGCGUGGGGAGCAAACAGG